GGGCAUUUGGCACAGUGGUAGCGCGCACGCUUCGCACGGCCAUUGAAACUGGAGUUGCGUGAGGUCCAGGGUUCAAUCCCCUGAAUGUCCA